GGUCGAUGAUGCUUGGCAUGUAUUAGCUGAUGGGCGCUGAUGCCGCUUCCACGCGAGCUCUAGAAUUACUCUGAGACCUC